GUAGCGCAAUGGAUAGCGCGUUGGACUUCUAAUCCAAAGGUCAUGGGCUCGCAUCCCACUUCCA